ensembl:lncRNA
UACGCCACACGAUGGUCAGCCAGCCUGCAAGUCCCAGCAUGCUUGCCAAUGUGGGGGUUGGGGGGCUCCUCCCUGCGCCCUCCGCCGCUCCGUUAACUCCUUAAGUCCUGUGGUACCCUCGGCUCCCUAUUCUGGAAAGCUUUUCCUAAGGACUCCCCCCGACAUCCUCAGCCCUCGAGCGGCCAGAGUUCCUUAUCCAGGACCUGGAAGGAAGAUGGUCACUUUAAGGGAAAACGUUUUCUCCGUUUCAUCCUCAGCUCCUCGCACUCCAGGCAGGCCGACACUGGCCUCUGCUGGAACGCUUCCUCCCCAGCCUCAGCAGGGGUGUGUGACGGGACCAGCCCAUCCUGCCUGCCUCAUGGGGCUGUGUGGGGAAAAAGGAGGCCAACGCGCGUUGUCAAGGGUGUGACCGUGUUCAUAUGCAGCGCCUGUGCUGAGGCCCCAUUCUCUCUCCUCCUGAGGAGAGACAUCGAGGGAGGUCCCCCCCUCAGCUCAGCUCUCACAACAGCCUGAGCCUACACUUUGUUGUUUCCAGCCCUUUCCCCUGAUUCACUGGCCACUGGGCAAGGCUUUCCUCCUUUGGGGCCUGCCCUUCUCCACCUAAGAUAAGGAGGCUGCUCCAGAUGGACGAAGGGCCAGCUCAGAUUAGGGUAUCCAGGACCAGUCUCUCCCAGUCUAUUGGCCAUUUCACUAAGCUGUAAGCUCCCUGAGAACAGGCUGUAUCUUUUCCUUAUCACUCCAGUGUUGUUUCUGGCACACAAAUUCACCCUGAGAACAUGUUUAUUGAGUUAGUGAGUUAUCUUAAUGAGUACUUUUUCUCUUAAGCUCUGACCCAAACUGAAGGGUCAGUGCUGGGGAAGGAGUGACCAUGUGACUUCUAGUCCAUUCCCCGUCCUUUUCCCCUAAGCUCAGAGUUGCUGCCCUAGUGACCAAUUUGAAUAAGUAAAUCUCUUUCAGAGAAAGUAACUUCUUCCCAAUUUUCUUUUCCUGGAAAUAUCCACAGCACAAAUGGAGCUCAAGUUUAUUUGAAUUUGGUUUCAAAGCUGAGUUGAGGACGAGGGGAAAGGGGAUUGAUUCAGAUCCUUCGAGAUAAAGAGGGCUGAGGUCACUUCAGGAA